WUUUAUUWRAUAAAAAACCAACGCGGCUCGCCGCUCCAUUGGUGAUUCAUAAUAACUUCUCKUAUCGCAUGGCCUUGUGCCGGCGAUGCUUCAUUCAAAUAUCUGCCCUAUCAACUUUCSAUGGUAGGAUAGAGGCCUACCAUGGUUUCAACGGGUAACGGGGAAUAAGGGUUCGAUUCCGGAWAGGGAGCCUGASAAACGGCUACCACAUCCAAGGAAGGCAGCAGGCGCGCAAAUUACCCAAUCCCGACACGGGGAGGUAGUGACAAUAAAUAACAAUAUAGGGCUCUUUUGGGUCUUAUAAUUGGAAUGAGUACAAUUUAAAUCCCUUAACGAGGAACAAUUGGAGGGCAAGUCUGGUGCAGCAGCCGCGGUAAUUCCAGCUCCAAUAGCGUAUAUUAAAGUUGUUGCAAWUAAAAAGCUCGUUAGAUGAACUUCAGACCUGGCCGGGCGGYCCGCCUAACUGSWSUGUACUGUCUGAGCUGSGCUGUACUUCCUGSUGAGACGGSUMUGCCCCUKCGCUSGKUGUGUSGKGRAAACCAGGUACCUUUACCWURAKUAGAKURGAGUGWUCAA
rnacentral:rRNA from 1 species